CCUACGGGUGGCAGCAGUAGGGAAUCUUUCACAAUGGGCGAAAGCCUGAUGGAGCAACGCCGCGUGCAGGAUGAAGGCCUUCGGGUUGUAAACUGCUUUUAUAAGCGAGAAAUAUGAUGGUAACGUAUGAAUAAGAAUCGGCUAAAUACGUGCCAGCAGACGCGGUCAUACGUAGGAUCCGAGCAUUAUCCGGAGUGACUGGGUGUAAAGAGUUGCGUAGGUGGCAUAAUAAGUGUCUAGUGAAAUCUGGUGGCUCAACCAUUCAGACUAUUAGCUAAACUGUUAAGCUCGAGACCGUUAGGGGUAACUGGAAUUUCUAGUGUAGGGGUGAAAUGCGUAGAUAUUAGAAGGAACACCAAUGGCGUAGGCAGGUUACUGGGACGGUUCUGACACUAAGGCACGAAAGCGUAGGGAGCAAACGGGAUUAGAUACCCCUGUAGUC
rnacentral:rRNA from 1 species